UGGUCAUAGAAGUGGAAGUUGUGCGGUUAUAAACUGAGCACUCGCUGUCCUUAGGAAGGAACACACAUUUGACUAGAGCGUAUCUUCUCUAAAGAUGUGCUGCGCAUCAAUUCAUCUCCUCAUUGCUGCCUUACUUGUCUUUGCUGUUGAAAAUGAGGCCACAACCAUGAUAACCAGCAUAGAAAAUACCACAGCUCCAGAUUCAGUGUUUAUUCACAACACCACCCAAUUCAAAGAAAUGGACUUUCUAGACAACUUUACCACUCCAAGCUUCACUGUCACCCUGCCAAACACGACGGUUGUGAAUAUCACAUCAGAUGGAGAAUCAGAAUCACCUACUCCACCGCCCUCAGAACAUCCGCAGACCAACAUUUACACCACAGACGAUUCUCUGAAGACCGUUUCACAAUCAAGCACAAAUAAUAUGAUCAAAAGCACAACUACUAGCAAAGAAACCAUAACUCAAGCAACGCAACCUAUCCAAAACCCCUGGCCAAGUGAGUGAUUUUUUCCUUAUUGUCAGUGUUUAUUCAUGUUUUUUUUAUUUCAGU
rnacentral:lncRNA from 1 species